rnacentral:lncRNA from 1 species
AUGGUCCGUCCCCUUCUCAAACAUCAUUUUGGCCCAGAGUCCAUUCAUGGGGCCUGCCGGGUGUUCCUGGGAAGAUGGGCAGAAAAUCCCAAGGUCCACUUAUCUCAGAAGCCAAGUGAAUACAGCAGCCCCAGGCCCUUGGAAUACUGGCUGCUUGACAGGAAGGUAGAUUCAACAUCGCUGCUGCUGGUUAUAGGGAGAUCAUCCACAACUGUUCAGACUUCAGGUCUCCGUUCCCACCAGGAGGCUCAGCAUAUUCCCACCUCACGAAACCAGCUAACUGCCAGCACAAGCUCUCUAGCUCCGAGUCGACUUUUCAGUGCUACAUUUCUUAGAAAGUUUUCCCAACACGUUGGCUGCUUUUGUAUGUCCGAAAUACAGGGCUCCUUAGGACACCAGGUGAAGUGA